AAACAGCAGGUCCAUAUUUCUGACUGUGCAGGAAUUGGAGGCCCACACCAAGCAGUGUGACAUACUUGAAUGACAAAAUAAUGGAGUGAUCCCAGGGACUCAGGAGUCAUGGCAGAGGAAUUUAUUGCUUAGCAACCCAGACAAAUGUCAAGAGUCUUACCAGAUGCAGAUGAUGCUCUGGGGAAGAGACUGCUCUCACUAGCAGUGCAACAGAAGUUUCAUAACAACGUAACUCCAGCAGGACACCUCCAUAUGAAUGGCUUUCCAUAGCACCACACUGGGCAGAUUGCCAGCAAGUUCUACCAGCUUAGCACCACAGUGACUUCUCUGUCAUCUGGUGAGCCUAUGAUCGCCAAUAAAGGUCUGGAUCUCAGCCUGGGCUCUCUUCCUUGGAUCUAUGCUGAACCUAACUGGAAACUGGGUGGCAAGAGUUGAUACAGUCCACACAGGUCGGCCUCCUGGGCAGAGAUCAGAGUAGGACAGGAUGAAGAACACAUCUGGAGGGUCAAAGAGAAGCUAUGACACAGGUACAGACGGAGUUUCACCAUGUUGGCCAGGCUCCAGGCUGGUCUUGAACUCCUGACUUCCGGUGAUCCACCUGCCUCCACCUCUCAAAGUGCUGGGAUUACAAGCGUGAGCCACCACACCUGGUCGCAUGUUGGUUUUUAUUAAUGACACUAGGUUAAAUUACAAAAUAACUUAGAAAAAAAUGACAUCUUAUGAUUGCUAUGUCUUCAGAACAUUGUUACAAACAUCUAUAUAUGCAAAAAAUUCCACUACUGAGAAUUCAUCCUGAAGAUAUGGCACACAUGUGUGAAAUGCUAUAAGUACGAAACUAUUCACUGUGACAUUGUUUGCUAUAGCAUGCCCAAAACCAACAUAAACAAAGUCAAAAGGCUAAUGACACCAUGAGAAAAAUAUUGACAACUGCUGGUGCAGACAAAGGGUUAAACUCUUUAACAUACAGUGAGAUUUCUAUACUGCCAUGAGAAAUCUCAAUAACCCAAUUUAAAAAAAAAAAGAGUAAAAGACAUGAAGCAACAGCCUCCCUUCACACCAACUUUAUUUAUUAUUCAGGAUUCUUCAGGGAAACAAAAUAGGAUAAAUAUAGAUAUAUAAGAGGAAAUUUAUUAUGGGAAUUGGCUCAUGCAAUUACUGAGGCUGAGAAGUCCCACAAUAUGUGGUUUGAAGUUGGAGAAUCAGGAAAACUGGUCGUGUAAUACAGUCUGAACCUGAAAGCUCAAGAACCAGGGGAGCUGAUGCUGUAACUCUCAGUUUGAUUUCAAAGACCUGAGAACCUGGGGGGCCACUAGUAUAAGUACCGGAGUCUAAAGGCCCAAGCACAUAAAGUUCUGAUGCCUGAGCGCAGGAGAAGAUGGAUGUUCUAGCUCCAGAAGAGAGAGAAAAUAUACUCAUCCUCUGUCUUUUUCUUCUGUUUGGGCCUUCAGUGAAGCAAAUGAUGCCCAUCUUCACUGAUGAAGACAGACUUUUACUCAGUCUACUGGUUCAAAUACUAAUCUCUUUAAGAAACACCCUUACAGAGACACUCAAAUAAAAUGUUUUACCAGCUUUCUGUA